GACGAACGCUGGCGGCGUGCUUAACACAUGCAAGUCGAACGAAGAGCGAUGGAAGCUUGCUUCUAUCAAUCUUAGUGGCGAACGGGUGAGUAACGCGUAAUCAACCUGCCCUUCAGAGGGGGACAACAGUUGGAAACGACUGCUAAUACCGCAUACGAUCUAAUCUCGGCAUCGAGGAUAGAUGAAAGGUGGCCUCUACAUGUAAGCUAUCACUGAAGGAGGGGAUUGCGUCUGAUUAGCUAGUUGGAGGGGUAACGGCCCACCAAGGCGAUGAUCAGUAGCCGGUCUGAGAGGAUGAACGGCCACAUUGGGACUGAGACACGGCCCAGACUCCUACGGGAGGCAGCAGUGGGGAAUCUUCCGCAAUGGACGAAAGUCUGACGGAGCAACGCCGCGUGAGUGAUGACGGCCUUCGGGUUGUAAAGCUCUGUUAAUCGGGACGAAAGGCCUUCUUGCGAAUAGUGAGAAAGGA
rnacentral:rRNA from 1 species